GGUACCACUGUAUACAAAAAUUAAAAAUUGGAACAAUACAAAGAUUAGGAUGGCCCCCGUGCAAGGAUAACAGCAAAUUCAUGAAGUGUUCCAUAUUAAA